UACGUAGGGGGCAAGCGUUGUCCGGAUUCAUUGGGCGUAAAGAGCUUGUAGGCGGUUCGGCAAGUCGGGUGUGAAAACUCCAGGCUCAACCUGGAGACGCCACCCGAUACUGCUGUGACUUGAGUCCGGUAGGGGACCACGGAAUUCCUGGUGUAGCGGUGAAAUGCGUUGAUAUCGGAAGGAACGCCGGUGGCGAAAGCGCACUACUGGUCCUCUUCUGACGCUGAGGCGCGAAAGCCAGGGGAGCAAACGGG
rnacentral:rRNA from 1 species